UGUUAGAAAAAUCGAAACUUAGGGUUUCGUUGUUUUUUUUUCUUCUUUUCAGUAGAAAUCACUAACAAAGUUCAUUAUUUUGAAGGAUUUUUGAUCUAAUAAAGGUAAAAUGGUGGUUCACCAUUAUCAUAGAAUUGGAGUUAAUGGUCUUGAAUUAAACAGGAAGGAAAAAUUUUCCAGUUAUAAAGUUUAUUUUGUUGAAGGAAAGAUGAAAUAAUCUUUUAGGAAGAGUUUCAGAUGGCUUAAAGACAGUCAUUUUCAGUGAUUGUGGGAUUUUAAGUGGUGGUGGAUGCUGGUUGUGGACGGUGGCUGGUAGUGGGGGUGGAUGUUAGUGGUGGGUGAUGCUUCUAGGGGUGGUGGAUGCUGGUGCUCAGUGGUUGGUGAGGAAAGCUAACGUUCUUGUUGAUUAAAAGUUUAUUAUCUUUCUGCAUUUUUUUUAUGUGUGUUUAAGGCUUGUGAAGAGAGUAGUAUUGCCUUCUCUUUUUCCUGUAAGUAUUGUCAAUAUCGUAUAUCUUUCCAUUUUGAUUGAAGCAGAUGUUCUACUAUAUUCUAUUCAACUGGUAGAUUGUCGAGUGUUGCUGCAUAGUACUCUUUCGAUCCAGUAAGGAAAUCAUCGCACUUGAGUGCAUCCUAUGUUCCAUGGUUUCUUUGAUAAGCUCAUCGGGUUAUUUUUCUUAAUUCUUUCAUGGACCGGUUUCUUUGACGCUUAUUAUGGAGUCAUUUGUCAACGUAGACUUGUUUGUCUGUGUAGUUCAGUUGUUUAUGGAAAUGCCUAUGAGAAAUAUAAUUCACUGUUGAUGUUUCACUUGAUAGUGCACUAUGUGCAGGUGGUGGUAAAAAUGGUGCGACUAUAGAGGACAUUUUGAUUCAGAAUUUCCCAUACAGGACUCCAAACAACUGAACUGGAAAAAAAGGUAUGAAGCUGGUAAUGUUGUGGAUGGAUUGGUUCAUUACAUCAUGGCGUGGUGACAAGUGCGGAAAAAGGAUCGAGGUACCUUGUACCAUUUAUGUUAGUUUUUCAAUUUAGAGUAUAUCAGAGGCUAGUUUAAACUUGGGUAGGUCCUGUAGUGUGCCAACAUCUUACACACUCCUAUUAUUUUCUUGUUGAUCUAAUCAUUAUGUAUUAGUCAUAAUUGGUAUGUUAACUCAAUCAUAGUUCAGCUCUGGUAUUCCGAGAUUAAUUAUCUUCAAGUCCUGCGAUGUAUUAGUCGUCUCCUUUAAUUGUACAAGUUCAAUAAAGCAUUUACUAUGUCUAUUUCGGAUCUCUUGUAGAGAGUGUAAUACAUGUGUAUGUAAUCCAUGUUAUUCCAUUUUCAUAUGAAAAAUUGGGUCUUUUAGUUGAUCUA